UACGGAGGGGGCUAGCGUUGUUCGGCCUUACAGGGCGUAAAGCGCGUGUAGGCGGGUCCUUAAGUCGGGGGUGAAAGCCCGGGGCUCAACCCCGGAACUGCCUUCGAUACUGAGGACCUGGAGUCUGGGAGAGGUGAGCGGAAUUCCGAGUGUAGAGGUGAAAUUCGUAGAUAUUCGGAGGAACACCAGAGGCGAAGGCGGCUCACUGGACCAGUACUGACGCUGAGACGCGAAAGCGUGGGGAGCAAACAGG
rnacentral:rRNA from 1 species